rnacentral:rRNA from 1 species
UACGGAGGGUGCGAGCGUUGUCCGGAAUCAUUGGGCGUAAAGAGCGUGUAGGCGGCCCGAUAAGUCCGCUGUGAAAGUCCAGGGCUCAACCCUGGAAUGCCGGUGGAUACUGUCGGGCUCGAAUCCGGAAGAGGUGAGUGGAAUUCCGAGUGUAGAGGUGAAAUUCGUAGAUAUUCGGAAGAACACCAGUGGCGAAGGCGGCUCACUGGACCGGCAUUGACGCUAAGACUCGAAAGCUGGGGGGAGCAAACAGGG